rnacentral:rRNA from 1 species
UACGAAGGGGGCUAGCGUUGCUCGGAAUCACUGGGCGUAAAGCGCACGUAGGCGGGUUGCCAAGUCGGGGGUGAAAGCCCGGAGCUCAACUCCGGAACUGCCAUUGAAACUGUUUAGCUUGAGGAUGAGAGAGGUGAGUAGAAUUCCCAGUGUAGAGGUGAAAUUCGUAGAUAUUGGGAAGAACACCGGUGGCGAAGGCGGCUCACUGGCUCAUUACUGACGCUCAGGCGCGAUAGCGUGGGGAUCAAACAGG